rnacentral:misc_RNA from 1 species
UGCGGUGCAUUCUGUGGUCGUUUUUGGCUUUCGGUUGUUUGCUUGGCUUAUUUGCCUCGUAAGUGGCCGUUUGGUAGGAUGACUUCGGGGAUGUCUAUCGUAAAGGUGCAUGAGUGGUGUUUGGUUUGAUACGGGUGGUCGGCUCCCUGCUUGAGCNGGCACGGCCACGCGUACAUUCCUUUUCAGUCGUGCGGUAAGGCUUGUUUAGCCUUGUUNGUAUGUGCGGGUUUCCUGUGUUGCGUACCUGAUCAACGGCAUUGUCUUGAUCAAAUAAGACCCGAUUUCGUCAAGCGUUGCGUUUGUGACGUUGGACGGACCAUGUGGCACCCUCCUUGAUCCAUNCCGUUGAUGAGCAUUUGUCGACUGUAUGGCCCAUUGAGUCGUGUUUGGUAUCUAGGAUAUGGAAGCCAAAGUGGGCAUGGGUUCGUAUGAUCCUUUUUUUUGCCCUCGUUGAGCGUUCUCGCUUCUCUUAAACGACCACCUUUCACGUAUGGCACGUCCCAGCGUGUUUGGCUACGUCGAAGAGGAAUG